GGCGGUAUGCUUAACACAUGCAAGUCGAACGGUGUCUUCGGACACAGUGGCGGACGGGUGAGUAACGCGUGAGAAUCUGGCUCUAGGUCUGGGACAACCACUGGAAACGGUGGCUAAUACCGGAUGUGCCGAGAGGUGAAAGGUUAACUGCCUAGAGAUGAGCUCGCGUCUGAUUAGCUAGUAGGUAGUGUAAUGGACUACCUAGGCGACGAUCAGUAGCUGGUCUGAGAGGACGAUCAGCCACACUGGGACUGAGACACGGCCCAGACUCCUACGGGAGGCAGCAGUGGGGAAUUUUCCGCAAUGGGCGAAAGCCUGACGGAGCAAUACCGCGUGAGGGAGGAAGGCUCUUGGGUCGUAAACCUCUUUUCUCAGGGAAGAACACAAUGACGGUACCUGAGGAAUAAGCAUCGGCUAACUCCGUGCCAGCAGCCGCGGUAAUACGGAGGAUGCAAGCGUUAUCCGGAAUGAUUGGGCGUAAAGCGUCCGCAGGUGGCAAUGUAAGUCUGCUGUUAAAGAGUCUAGCUCAACUAGAUACAAGCAGUGGAAACUACAUAGCUAGAGUACGUUCGGGGCAGAGGGAAUUCCUGGUGUAGCGGUGAAAUGCGUAGAGAUCAGGAAGAACACCGGUGGCGAAGGCGCUCUGCUAGGCCGUAACUGACACUGAGGGACGAAAGCUAGGGGAGCGAAUGGGAUUAGAUAC
rnacentral:rRNA from 2 species